AACGCAUAUGGCACCCGAGACCUCGGUCGAGGGUAUGUCUGUCUCAGAGUCGGCGUAAAAAUAUCCCCAAAGGAAGAAGCCAGCCUCGAGGAAAAGUCAGCUCGAGGGAAGGCGUCCGGCGGGGGAGCUGGCCUUCCCGGGCCCUGCCGCCCGGGUCGGCUGAAGGGGAGAGACGGGGGACCGCACGCGCGGACAGCCACGAUUUUGGUGGGAGGACCCAGCGUCCGCAUCAUCGAUCGAGGCCGUCCUGUCGAAAGCGUCGGGUAGCAGCAGCCCCCGCCCUCGCAGGAAAAGCCAAGGAAGCAGCGAUGCUUCCCGCCGUUCCGACCUGAGAUCAGGCAAGAUCACCCGCUGAACUUAA
rnacentral:misc_RNA from 1 species